UCCUAGUGAGUCACUGUGUUCUGUUUGAGAUACAGGUGAUUGACAGAUUGGAUGACGUAGCAUCGCACCUGCACUAAAUCAGCGCUCUUUAAAAGCGAUCCGUGUGAACUGAUGAGAGAGUGAGACGAGACUUGUGCUUGCUGGAGUGGUUUGCCCGUCAUGUGACUACCGGUGUGUCUCGAGGGAUAUGGAGUUUGCGGGAGACCGCAGCCGCAUUCGAGGAGUUCUCGUUAUGAUCCGCCUCACCGAGAACGGCUUUUGGACAUUAAUCUUCUGUUGGUUUUGUUGACUUUAAUUGUUUACACUUGUAUCACUUACACGCACCUGCUGACACGCUGACAAUUCAUCUACACUGACUACUAUACAUUUCAUGUUUACGUUCUUUAGUUUAAUAAAUUGCUUUGCAAAUUUAGCGGUUGUGUGGUGUCUCCCUGGUUUUGUUGGGUUCCUUGACAAAGAACCGUAACAAAUGGGGGCUCGUUAACAUAUGCGUUCGUUUGAUUUAAAUUAAAAUAUAGUUUUGUGUAACUGUGAAAGGAACAAGCAAAUCAUUGUUUAUUCGCAUUAUUUGGGAGAUGCACGCUUGAGUUUAUAUUUAAAGAUGUCCCGCGAGUUCGAAGGUAGUCGUCAUUGAAGGUAAGUGUAUUUUUAUUACGUUACAGAUAAAACAUUGUUCAUAUUCCCCAUUAGGUAUUAGCAACGCUUUGCGUUGAUUUGUUAUUUUGCCUUUUUUAUUUUUGUGUAGGCUUUUGGGUGAAGCACACCGCCGUGGUAACGAAUUGGGCUAUUUUGCUCAAUUUCGAAACUGCCGGUAUUUGGUGUUUAAUGCCGCUUUACUCUUGAAAGCUGCACGAAGAUUAGGCAUAGAAUAGUGUAGAGGGUGGUUAGGCAGUGUAGAAGGGGAAGGUGUGAACAUAUGUUUGAUCUGUAGCUGUUGUUUUUUUAAAUACACUUGCUUUUCAAUUGAAUAAAUUAGCCAGCAAGUUUAAGAUUUAAAUAUGGCAUCCAUUGAAGAAUUUGUUAAAGCUCCAUCAGAGGACGUGUUGAAUUUGUUUGUGAAGGAAAAAUUGUGGGAACUUAUAGACCAUUUUAAAAUUGGUGAUGUAGAUAAACGAACAAAGAAAAAGGAACUUCGUGCUAUCGUGAGAAAUUGGUUGAUUGAAAAUAAACUUUUAGUCAUUUCCACACAGAAAAAACCUGAGGCUGAGAAAAAUCCGGUGGAUAUUUUUUCAGGGUUGUCUUUUGAACAAAGAAAAGAGAUUUUGCAAAUGCAACAGAAUCAUGAUAAGGAAUUGGUCAAGGAAACUAGGAUAUACGAGUUUGAGUUGGAAAAAUUAAGAACUGAGAACUUGCUCAAACAACGUAAAAUUGAAUUCGCACAGAAACAAUUAGAGGUUGAAAAAUCGACACGCGAGUGUGAGUUGCAAGCGGAGCGUUUAAAGUUAGCAAGGGAAGGCAGAUUACCUAUUGACCCUGGUGAAAGAAACUAUGGUGGUUUUGACAUGGCUAGUAAUUUAAGAUUGCUCCCUAAAUUUAACGAACAUGAUCCGGAUGUGUUUUUCUCUUUGUUUGAGACUCUUGCUGAAGAAAGGAAUUGGCCAAAUGCUGUACGAAUUGUUAUGCUCCAAACUGUGAUUACAGGCAAAGCACAGGAGGCAUAUGCAGCUCUUCCGAUGGAGGACCGGCGAGAUUAUGAUAAGGUAAAAGUGACCAUUCUAAAGGCUUAUGAGUUAGUUCCUGAAGCAUACCGCCAGCGUUUUAGGAACUGGAGGAAAGGUGAACGCCAAACACAUUCUGAGGUGGUAAGAGAACUUGUUUCACAUUUUGAUCGUUGGUGCACUGCUUCAGAUGUGGAUAACUUUGAGAGUUUACGUGAUCUUAUUAUUUUAGAACAGUUUAAGAACAUUGUGCCUGACUAUAUUGCCACAUAUAUAAAUGAAAAGAAGCCAAAUGAUGCGGUUGAAGCUGCAGUUCUAGCAGAUGAUUACAUUUUGACUCAUAAAACUGCAUACAGAGAUGACAGAUCAGUGCGUCACUACAGUAAUUUUGCUGAAAAUAGAGUUGCAUCAAGGAAAUUUGAGCCAACUUUUUCUUCAAAAUUUGAGAGAAAUGGUCGUGGGAAACCUGACCGAGAUUUGGUAUGCAAUUAUUGUUUCAACAAUGGACAUUGGAAAAAUAAGUGUCCUGUUUUGGCCGCAAAGUUGAAAUCUAGUCAAAAGAAGUCUCAUGCUAAUGUUAGUCCUGUGUUAAUGACUGAGACUACAAAAGUCAAUAAUUUGCAAUCAGAUGCCUCUAUGGAUGAGAAUACAGUGUGCCACUUAAAAACUGAAAAUCACUUUGCACCUUUUAUUACACAGGGUUUUGUUUCUCUGGCCAAGUCAGAAGAAAAAGUCCCGGUUAAGAUCUUAAGAGAUACAGGAUCUUCUGAAUCCUUUAUUCUUCAGUCUGUCUUGCCUUUUUCUGAAGUAUCAAGUGAAGGCAGGGAUGUUUUGAUCAAAGGGAUUGGUUUAAACACUCUUUCUGUUCCUCUGCACAGAGUAAAUUUGACUUCGGAGUUGGUCUGUGGAGAAGUAACCCUGGGAGUCCGUCCAUCAUUGCCGGUGGAUGGUGUCAUGGUAAUACUCGGGAAUAAUUUAGCUGGAGGUAGGGUAUGGCGAGAGGUAAUUCCACCACCUGUGGUAGUGCCCACUCCAUUAACUGAGAAAUCUGAUGCAUUAAAGCAGAAGUUCCCUGAGGUAUUUACAUCAUGUGUGGUAACGCGUUCUAAGAGUCGUGAGGCUUUUUGUGAAGAAAAAGUGUCAAAGUAUGCACUGUCUGGUUUGUCUACUCUUUCUCCUAUUUCCAAUAGGGAGUUGAUAACGGCCCAACAAAAUGAUCCUGGGUUGCAGAAGUUGUUUGAGGAUGUUAUUUCAUCAGAAGAGGUGAGAAGUGCUGUCAGUGGAUAUUUUGUCCAAGAUGAGCUACUUUUGAGGAAAUAUGUUCCUUGUAAAAAAGGUUUGAUUGGUGAGGCUAUAAUUCAAGUGGUGGUACCAAAACCGUUCCGUGAAAUGGUAAUGAAGGUUGCGCAUGGGGAAGUAGCAGGUCAUUUAGGAGUAAAGAAAACUUAUGACAGAGUUUUGCGACAAUUCUAUUGGCCAUGUUUGAAAAAGGAUAUCUCAGCCUUCAUUAAAACGUGCCAUACAUGUCAGUUAACAGGCAAACCGAAUCAAUCUUUGAAACCAGUGCCUCUAUCGCCUAUAGUUGUUACAAGUAAACCUUUUGAACAUCUAAUAAUUGACUGUGUAGGUCCAUUGCCUACUUCUAAAUCAGGCAAUGUAUAUUUGCUGACUGUAAUGUGUCAGGCAACUCGGUAUCCGGCAGCUUACCCUAUUCGAAAAAUUACAACCAAAGCAGUUGUGAAAGCUCUAACUCAGUUCAUUUCUGUGUUUGGGAUACCCAAGAUUAUUCAGAGUGACAAAGGGUCAAAUUUCACUUCACGUAUGUUUGAUGAGAUUUUGAGAGUGCUUAAGGUGAGACAUAAUCAAUCAAGCGCAUAUCACCCUCAAAGUCAAGGUGCUCUUGAACGAUUUCACCAAACGUUGAAAGCAUUGUUACGUAGUUACUGUGUGGAGUUGAACCGUGACUGGGAGGAAGGGUUACCCUGGUUAUUACUCGCAGCUAGAGAAGUACAACAAGAAAGCUUGGGUUUUAGUCCAAAUGAUCUAGUUUUUGGUCACAGUGUACGAGGUCCUCUCUCUGUUUUGCGGGAAGGACUGUGUGAAGAUGAUCCUCCACAGAAUUUGUUAGAAUACGUGAAUGGUUUUCGUAGACGUUUAUUUUUGGCUGGUUUAAGUGCGCAGAAAAAUCUUGUCGGAGCGCAGAGUACAAUGAAGAAGUACUAUGAUAAGCAUGUAGAAUCUCGUGUUUUUGCACCAGGUGAUAAAGUGCUAGUUUUGUUGCCUUCAUCUGGAUCUCCUUUUUGUGCACGAUUUACUGGUCCAUAUAAAGUUCUGCGAAAAAUGACUGACCAAAACUAUCAAAUUGAAACUCCAGAUCGACGAAAAGCAAAGCAAUGUUUUCAUGUGAAUUUACUUAAGCCUUAUCAUUCUCGUCAUUCUGAAAGUCAACCAGUUAGUCCAGUUGUUACUGUUUCUAGUACCUCUCUUGAUCAUGUUCAAUCUCUUUUUGUAGAGGGAGGGGAGGAUGUGAUGGUCCCUGGAGACUGCGUUUUGCUUCCCCGGUUAAAGAAUUCAGAGACUCUUCAAAAUUUGGAUGCUUUGUUUUUGCAUUUAUCAGAUAUACAGAGGUCAGAGUUGACAAAGUUAGUGUUUGAUUUUCCUAGUCUAUUUGCAGAUGUUCCAACUCGUACGCAUCUUAUCCAGCAUGAUGUGGAUGUGGGAGAUGCCCGUCCUAUUCGACAGCGUUUCUACAGGGUUCCUAUGAGUAAGCGGAAAGUGUUGGAAUCAGAAGUUCAGUAUAUGCUGGAGAAUGAGAUCGCUGUUCCUUCCUGUUCCAGUUGGGCUUCACCAUGUUUGCUGGUGAAAAAGCCAGAUUCUACUUACAGAUUUUGUACUGACUACCGUAAAUUAAACGCUAUUACUAAACCUGAUGCGUUUCCACUUCCUCGAAUGGAGGACUGUGUAGAUCAGGUGGGGACUGCACAUUUUGUAAGUAAACUGGACCUUCUAAAAGGAUAUUGGCAAGUGCCUUUAACUCCUAGAGCUCAGGAAAUAACUUCAUUUAUUACGCCAUCUGGAUUAUAUUCGUACUCCGUGAUGAGUUUUGGCCUGCGAAAUGCACCCGCAACCUUCCAGAGAUUGAUGAAUAGAGUGGUAUUUGGUCUGGAAGGUUGUGCGGUGUAUUUAGAUGAUGUUAUUGUUUUCAGUGACACAUGGGAACAACAUUUGGUACGCCUUCGUGCACUUUUGACUCGUUUGGCAGAGGCGCAUCUUACUGUCAACUUGGCAAAGUGUGAGUUUGCCAAGGCGACCGUAAGAUAUUUGGGUAAAGAAGUUGGCCAAGGUGAGGUACGUCCUAUUCAAGCCAAAAUUGUGGCUAUUCAAAAUUUCCCUCCCCCAUCAAACAAGAAGGAGCUGAUGCGUUUUCUGGGGAUGGUGGGGUAUUAUCGAGGAUUUUGCCCAAAUUUUUCAACGGUGGUUGCCCCACUAACUGAUUUACUUAAGAAUUCCAUCAAAUUUGUUUGGAGUGUGAAUUGUCAGAAAGCUUUUGACAAUGUUAAGCUAUUGUUAACCACUGCUCCUGUUCUAGCUGCCCCUAGGCUGGAUGAACCUUUCAAAAUACAGGUAGAUGCAAGCCAGGUUGGUGCUGGGGCUGUUCUGUUACAAACAGGCGAGACUGGACUUGAACAUCCUGUAAGUUUUUUUUCUCGUAAGUUUAAUACUUACCAAAAAAACUAUUCGGUAAUCGAGAAAGAAGCCUUAUCUUUAAUUUGGGCUCUUCAGCACUUUGACGUAUAUGUGGGGGGAGGACUACCAGUGGAGGUUUAUUCUGAUCAUAACCCCUUAACAUUUUUACAUUCCCUACAGUCCCCGAGUCAGCGGUUGAUGCGCUGGAUUCUCUUUUUACAGCCUUACAGCUUAACUGUAAAACACAUCAAGGGUUCUGAUAACGUAGUGGCAGAUGCGUUAUCUCGUGUUCCUGAUCAAACUGAAUGAGUUUAAUGUUUGGCCAGUCGUAUCUGUUUUUCUGUUUCCUUUUUCUCCUUAAUUUGCUUUCAGGAUCCAGAUUGCUGGGGGUAAGGGGACAAGGAGAAUUGAGAUGGCUGUAAGAACAUACUAUUACUGGUGGAUCGGAUGCUAUAGAAAUAAAAUAAAAGGAAGUGAUUGACAGAUUGGAUGACGUAGCAUCGCACCUGCACUAAAUCAGCGCUCUUUAAAAGCGGUCCGUGUGAACUGAUGAGGGAGUGAGACGAGACUUGUGCUUGCUGGAGUGGUUUGCCCGUCAUGUGACUGCCGGUGUGUCUCGAGUGAUAUGGAGUUUGCGGGAGACCGCAGCCGCAUUCGAGGAGUUCUCGUUAUGAUCCGCCUCACCGAGAACGGCUUUUGGACAUUAAUCUUCUGUUGGUUUUGUUGACUUUAAUUGUUUACACUUGUAUCACUUACACGCACCUGCUGACACGCUGACAAUUCAUCUACACUGACUACUAUACAUUUCAUGUUUACGUUCUUUAGUUUAAUAAAUUGCUUUGCAAAUUUA